rnacentral:rRNA from 1 species
UACGUAGGGUGCAAGCGUUACUCGGAAUUACUGGGCGUAAAGGGUGCGUAGGCGGUUCGUUAAGUCUGUCGUGAAAUCCCCGGGCUCAACCUGGGAAUGGCGAUGGAUACUGGCGAGCUAGAGUGUGUCAGAGGACGGUGGAAUUCCCGGUGUAGCGGUGAAAUGCGUAGAGAUCGGGAGGAACAUCAGUGGCGAAGGCGGCCAUCUGGGACAACACUGACGCUGAAGCACGAAAGCGUGGGGAGCAAACAGG